rnacentral:rRNA from 1 species
AUUGAACGCUGGCGGCAGGCCUAACACAUGCAAGUCGAGCGGAGCGGCGGACGGGUGAGUAAUGCCUAGGAAUCUGCCUGGUAGUGGGGGAUAACGUCCGGAAACGGGCGCUAAUACCGCAUACUAUCAGAUGAGCCUAGGUCGGAUUAGAUAGUUGGUGGGGUAAAGGCCUACCAAGGCCACGAUCCUUAACUGGUCUGAGCGGAUGAUCAUUAACACUGGAACUGUGCCACGGUCCAGACUCCUACGGGGGGCAGCAUGGGUGAAUAUUGGACAAGGGGCGAAAGCCUGAUCCAGCCAUGCCGCGUUGGGGAAGAAGGUCUUCGGAUUGUAAAGCUCUUUAAGUUGGGAGGCGUUACCAACAGAAUAAGCACCGGCUAACUUCGUGCCAGCAGCCGCGGUAAUAC